UGGACUUUUUAUUGGAGUACAUUCCCUUUGAAUGUUUCACAUACAUAAUGUUUGUUUUUAAAGAUAAUGCUACACAUACGAGUACAUAUUAUGCUACACAUACGAGUACAUAUUUUAGUUUCAACACAUUUUUUUUCCUCCUUAAAUUUAACUAAGUAUAGUUUUAUGCAUUGUAUACAUGUAUUUUUUAACUUGUAUCACAAUAAUGGAGCUCAAUAGAUGUGACCCUCUAAUGAUAUGAUAUCAUUGUGACAAAAAGGUUGUUUCAUUUAACUCCACAGUACGUUUAGAGAGGAUUUCUUCAUUAGAACAAAAUCAAAAUUGGCUGUAAGAAAGAUUUAUCACCUAAAGGACUGUCAAUUAGUUGCAAUAGAUAUAUGUAUCACCAAAAGGGCCGUUAAUUAGUGGCAAUGAAUUUGCAAGUUUCUUUUAUGUCCAGUGAUUCCUUAACAAAAUAUAAUUAGCAUGUUUAUUUUUUAAAUUAAUGUUUCUAUUUUGUAUCAUCUGCUUACACUAUUGAUGUGCAAGCAGUGUAUUACAGGAUAAUGGAAUUAUAAGAAACUAUAUAUAUUUAUAUAUUGAGAUUACACAUUGAUCAGUUAUAUUUGCAAUGAAUAAAUCAGUCAUUUUUUUUUUUUUAAUUUAGGUCAGAGCUGAUGUGAAUGAGAUUUUCAUUAUUAUUAUCAUGUGUUGCUUAGGUGAUGUAGUUCAUCUAGCUUGAUCAUUUCCUAGUGCCUGACUGUGUUCAAACAGAGAAGCCAGUUGUCUGCCUAUAUUGUAUUCAGCGAACAAUUUGUAUUUAUUUCAUCAUUUAUUACCUUACAUGUCUGAUGUUAACUCUGGUCAGAGUCAGAACACAUUGGAUAUGAGAUUUUCUUGUAACAGGUCUAAUUAUUUGUUUGUACAUUUCCAGAUGUUAUUGUGAACAAGUUGAUCAACUUUGUUACUGGACAAUGUCUUAGCUAGUAGUAGCAUGUCUCAUAGCACACAGCUUAGAGAUACGUUUAGGAAAAACAAAGUAUAUUUUUCAUGUCACAAGUUUUUUUUUAUUUCUU